rnacentral:rRNA from 1 species
UACGGAGGGAGCUAGCGUUGUUCGGAAUUACUGGGCGUAAAGGGCGUGUAGGCGGUUUGUUAAGUCUGGCGUGAAAGCUCUCGGCUAAACCGGGAGAGGUCGUUGGAUACUGGCGAACUAGAGGAUGGUAGAGGCGUGUGGAAUUCCGGGUGUAGUGGUGAAAUGCGUAGAGAUCCGGAGGAACACCAGUGGCGAAGGCGACACGCUGGGCCAUACCUGACGCUAAAGCGCGACAGCAUGGGGAGCAAACGGG